rnacentral:rRNA from 1 species
GAUCAUUGCUCAGGAUGAACGCUGGCGGCGUGCCUAACACAUGCAAGUCGAACGAAGCACCUUACCGGAUUCUUCGGAUGAAAGUUUGGUGACUGAGUGGCGGACGGGUGAGUAACGCGUGGGUAACCUGCCCUGUACAGGGGGAUAACAGCUGGAAACGGCUGCUAAUACCGCGUAAGCGCACGAGGAGACAUCUCCUUGUGUGAAAAACUCCGGUGGUACAGGAUGGGCCCGCGUCUGAUUAG